AGUGAACGCUGGCGGUAGGCCUAACACAUGCAAGUCGAACGGCAGCACAGUAAGAGCUUGCUCUUACGGGUGGCGAGUGGCGGACGGGUGAGGAAUACAUCGGAAUCUACUUUUUCGUGGGGGAUAACGUAGGGAAACUUACGCUAAUACCGCAUACGACCUACGGGUGAAAGCAGGGGAUCUUCGGACCUUGCGCGAUUGAAUGAGCCGAUGUCGGAUUAGCUAGUUGGCGGGGUAAAGGCCCACCAAGGCGACGAUCCGUAGCUGGUCUGAGAGGAUGAUCAGCCACACUGGAACUGAGACACGGUCCAGACUCCUACGGGAGGCAGCAGUGGGGAAUAUUGGACAAUGGGCGCAAGCCUGAUCCAGCCAUACCGCGUGGGUGAAGAAGGCCUUCGGGUUGUAAAGCCCUUUUGUUGGGAAAAAAAAGCAGCAGGUUAAUACCCCGCUGUUCUGACGGUACCCAAAGAAUAAGCACCGACUAACUUCGUG
rnacentral:rRNA from 1 species